rnacentral:rRNA from 1 species
GUACGCUGGCGGCACGCCUAACACAUGCAAGUCGAACGAAGUAGCAAUACUUAGUGGCAGACGGGUGAGUAACAUGUAGGUAUCUGCCCUUUGGCCUGGAAUAACACGAGGAAACUUGUGCUAAUACCGGAUAAGUCUUUACGGAGAAAGCUUUAUGCACCAUUGGAUGAGCCUGCACUUGAUUAGUUUGUUGGUGGGGUAAUGGCCUACCAAGACUGUGAUCAAUAGCUGAUUUGAGAGGAUGAUCAGCCACAUUGGGACUGAGACACGGCCCAAACUCCUACGGGAGGCAGCAGUGGGGAAUCUUGCACAAUGGAGGAAACUCUGAUGCAGCGAUGCCGCGUGAGUGAAGAAGGCCCUUGGGUUGUAAAGCUCUUUCGUCGGGGAAGAAAAUGACUGUACCCGAAUAAGAAG